UACAAAUGCCAUACCACCUUGAGACUGCCAGAUCGCAUUCAGAUUUUGGAAGGAAAGCAGGGUUUGGCCUGGUUAGUACUGGAUGGGAAGCCUCUGCUAAUUACAGGUGUCACAGUGG
rnacentral:rRNA from 1 species